rnacentral:rRNA from 1 species
UACGUAGGGUGCGAGCGUUGUCCGGAAUUAUUGGGCGUAAAGAGCUCGUAGGUGGCUUGUCGCGUUGUCCGUGAAAACUCACAACUCAAUUGUGGGCGUGCGGGCGAUACGGGCAGACUGGAGUACUGCAGGGGAGACUGGAAUUCCUGGUGUAGCGGUGGAAUGCGCAGAUAUCAGGAGGAACACCGGUGGCGAAGGCGGGUCUCUGGGCAGUAACUGACGCUGAGGAGCGAAAGCGUGGGGAGCGAACAGG